GUUUUGUGGUGGGUUUUUUGAGAGGGAAUGGGAGGGGUAUAGCUGUGUAACCACAUUUUUAAAGCCACAGAGGUUGAAGAACUAUUUUUUCAUGCAUUGAUCUUUUUUUCCCAAGAACAGAUUUAAACUAAGGCAUUAUAUUAAAAAAAAAUCUGAUUAGUUACGUGUGUUGUAAGAUUUAAAGUAUUCAGGGUAACCGUUUUUGUUUUAACAAGGAGAUUAUCCUUCGGGUGCAAUUUAGACCAAUAAAAAUGGUAGAGGUAUUUUAAAGUGUUGAACAUCUUCACAAGGGAAUAUUUUAUUGCUUAUUUUAUUCAUAGACAUAGCAAGUUUGGG